rnacentral:ncRNA from 1 species
CCUCUGGAGAAUCCCGGCAGCCCGGGUGCCGAAGGGGCAAGUCGGCGCAGACGCGCGGCGAAACUCUCAGGCAAAAGGACAGAGCGAU